CGAACAUUAAUGAACAGGACAGUAGUUCUUGUCGGACAGUCGCAGCGAGCCGGAAGUGGUGGGAACCGGUACGAAUGUCAAGAACGAAGCGGGUCUGGGAAAUGGUCUUCCGAAACAAGAAGUAGGGAGAUCCGGCAUAAGCCGUUAUCGUAGGAGUGGUUAAAUCAGCAGAUUUAACACUUAGAGUGGUACCGCGGGAAUGAACAGCUCUCGUCUCUUAU
rnacentral:ncRNA from 1 species